rnacentral:tRNA from 1 species
ACCUGUCUGGCUCAGUUGAAGAGCAUGUGACUCUUGAUCUCAAGGUCUUGAGUUCGAACCCCACGCUGGGUA